rnacentral:rRNA from 1 species
UUGGAUUAGAUACCCCGGUAGUCCACGCCGUAAACGAUGAAUACUAGGUGUAGGUGGUAUCGACUCCAUCUGUGCCGACGCAAACGCAUUAAGUAUUCCGCCUGGGGACUACGGCCGCAAGGUUGAAACUCAAAGAAAUUGACGGGGACCCGCACAAGCAGCGGAGCAUGGGGUUUAAUUCGACGCAACGCGAAAAACCUUACCAGAACUUGACAUCGAGUGACAGACUCUGUAAUGGAGUCCUUCCCUUCGGGGACACGAAGACAGGUGUUGCACGGUCGUAGACAACU